rnacentral:rRNA from 1 species
UUGCAGUUAAAAAGCUCGUAGUUGGAUUUCGGUUAAGAGCGACCGGUCCGCCGUUUGGUGUGCACUGGUUGGUUUUAACUUCCUGUAGAGGAUGUGCUCUGGGCUUAACGGUCUGGACUCGGAGUCUACGUGGUUACUUUGAAAAAAUUAGAGUGUUCAAAGCGGGCUUACGCUUGAAUAUUUCAGCAUGGAAUAACACUAUAGGACUCCUGUCCUAUUUCGUUGGUCUCGGGACGGGAGUAAUGAUUAAGAGGAACAGUUGGGGGCAUUCGUAUUUCAUUGUCAGAGGUGAAAUUCUUGGAUUUAUGAAAGACGAACUUCUGCGAAAGCAUUUGCCAAGGAUGUUUUCAUUAAUCAAGAACGAAAGUUGGGGGCUCGAAGAUGAUUAGAUACCAUCCUAGUCUCAACCAUAAACGAUGCCGACUAAAGGAUUGGCGGAUGUUAAAUUGAUGACUCCGCCAGCACCUUAUGAGAAAUCAAAGUUUUUGGGUUCCGGGGGGAAUAU